UUUCUGCUUUAAGAGAAGCUGGGCUUGAAUCAUCAAAUCUAAUACUUGGUAUAGACUUCACAAAGAGCAAUGAGUGGACAGGAAAAUAUUCAUUCCACAGAAGAAGCCUUCACUCAAUCAAUAGCAGCAGCGGACCAAAUCCUUAUGAGCAGGCAAUCUCUAUACUUGGCCGAACGUUGUCUCCUUUUGAUGAAGAUAAUUUAAUCCCAUGUUUUGGAUUUGGUGAUGCAUCAACACAUGAUAAACACGUGUUCAGUUUUUAUCCCGAUCAUCGACCUUGUCAUGGUUUUGAGGAAGUUCUCACAAGAUACAGAGAGAUUGUUCCGCUCUUAAGCUUG